rnacentral:rRNA from 1 species
UUGGAGUGACACAGUAGGAUAAGCUAACCGUACUGUUGGUUAUGUACGGCUAAGCAUUGAGGCAGUCUAAAUAGGCAAAUCCGUUUAGACAAUGCUAGGAUGUGAUGGGGAAGCCCUCCGGGGCGAAGUAGCUGAUUUCACACUGUCAAGAAAAGCUUCUAUCGAGUUUAAAGGCGCCCGUACCGUAAACCGACACAGGUGGGUGAGGAGAGUAUCCUAAGGCCAGCGAGAGAACUAUUGUUAAGGAACUCGGCAAAAUGACCCCGUAACUUAGGGAGAAGGGGUGCCUGUCUAUGACAGGCCGCAGAGAAUAGGCCCAAGCGACUGUUUACCAAAAACACAGGUUUCUGCUAAGUCGCAAGACGAUGUAUAGGAGCUGACGCCUGCCCGGUGCUGGAAGGUUAAGGGGAUCUGUUAGAGCAAUCGAAGCAGUGAACUUAAGCCCCAGUAAACGGCGGCCGUAACGAUAACGGUCCUAAGGUAGCGAAAUUCCUUGUCGGGUAAGUUCCGACCCGCACGAAAGGCGUAACGAUUUGGGCACUGUCUCAACAAUAGACUCGGUGAAAUUGUAAUCCCGGUGAAGAUGCCGGGUACCUGCGACAGGACGGAAAGACCCCAUGGAGCUUUACUGUAGCUUGACGUUGGGUCUUGGUACUACAUGUACAGGAUAGGUGGGAGACUAUGAAGCAUGGACGCCAGUCUGUGUGGAGUCAUCCUUGGGAUACCACCCUUGUAGUACUGGGAUCCUAACCAUAGGCCUUGAAUCAGGUCUUGGAACACCGUCAGGUGGGCAGUUUGACUGGGGCGGUCGCCUCCUAAAAAAGUAACGGAGGCGCUCAAAGGUUUCCUCAGCACGGUCGGAAAUCGUGCGAAGAGUGUAAAGGCAAAAGGAAGCUUGAUUGCAAGACAUACAGGUCGAGCAAGGACGAAAGUCGGACUUAGUGAUCCGGUGGUACCGCAUGGAAGGGCCAUCGCUCAACGGAUAAAAGCUACCCUGGGGAUAACAGGCUUAUCUCCCCCAAGAGUCCACAUCGACGGGGAGGUUUGGCACCUCGAUGUCGGCUCAUCACAUCCUGGGGCUGUAGUAGGUCCCAAGGGUUGGGCUGUUCGCCCAUUAAAGUGGUACGCGAGCUGGGUUCAGAACGUCGUGAGACAGUUCGGUCCCUAUCCGUCGCAGGCGUAGGAAAUUUGAGAAGACCUGUCCUUAGUACGAGAGGACCGGGAUGGACGUACCUCUGGUGUACCAGUUGUUCUGCCAAGGGCAUGGCUGGGUAGCUAUGUACGGAAUGGAUAAGCGCUGAAAGCAUCUAAGCGCGAAGCCAACUUCAAGAUAAGAUUUCCCACCGUAAGGGUAAGACCCCAGGAAGACUACCUGGUUGAUAGGUCGAAGGUGUAAGUGCAGUAAUGUAUUUAGCUUAUCGAUACUAAUAGGUCGAGGACUUGACCU